rnacentral:lncRNA from 1 species
UGGCCGACGACGACGGCGACGCGAUCGUCUCCAGAUUCCAGGAGUAUCUCCGAAUCAACACGGUCCAGCCCAAGCCCGAUUACUACAAAGCCGUUGACUUUAUAAACUCCCAGGCUAAAUCCCUCUCCCUGGAAUCUCAGACGAUCGAGCUCGUCAAGGGAAAGCCUCUCCUCCUCCUCAAAUGGGUUGGCUCCGACCCAACCCUACCAGCCCUUCUCCUCAACUCCCACACCGAUGUGGUUCCCUUCGAGGAGUCCAAG